UCUUAUGAUGAACGGAUUAUGGCUGCUCAACUUUCUUCUUCUGGCGAAUGGCGGCGGUUCCAUUAGUUGCAUGCCCUUCCAUAGAGCAGGCCAAACGGGGUCGAGGGUGGCGAGGACCAGGGACUGUAGCAGCGCGGUGCAAGUCGCAAUGCGUCGGCGGGCGGCGACUGGGAGAGCGGCGGCCGACUUCCAUCGGCAGGCGGCCUUGAUGACGGCAGCAGUGGCGUCGGCAUGCCAGGAGUCUGCUGAGCCGGCUGGACUAUUGGGACAGGGUGCGGACGGCACGCCGACACUACGCUUCACCCAUAGAGUACUGUAAAUUAUGCUACCGAAUGUAUCACUCUGCACUUCUGCUUGACGCUCUUGAACUUGCUUGGCCUCCUGAUGAAAUAGAGCACUGCCAUCUGGAGAUUUUUACUGGUAAAAAUAUUACUAACGAAUGAAGAAAUUGCGACUAGACAAAAUGUUAGCUGUGAAAGUAGUCACUGCUUUGAAUGCGACAAAGCAUGCUAACGCAAAUGAUUAUAAAUUAUGGAAACAAGAAUAAAAGGCCAUAGGCAAAAGAAUA